rnacentral:misc_RNA from 1 species
CCGUGGUUGUGGGGUGCGUUUCAUGUCUGGUUCGUCGCUUGCAGGGCCCUGCGGGCAUCCUACUUGUCGAAGAGAAAAAUUAUCCUGCAGCAGAUCAAGAAGCACAGGCGCGGACAACAUGGAGUUUAUCGAGGUGACAAAUGUAACGUUUCCCGUCGGAGUCGAGCAUACUCGGCGCACGCUUUUGCGGGUGUUCGAGAGGGUGCAAUCUGUGGAGGACAUUGUAGUGGACGUGCGAGAGGGUCGGGCGAUGAUCUCCUUUACAGAAUCGUCGGCGGCACAGGAGGCGUUGAUAUCGCUCGACGGUUUUCCGCUUUUUGGACGGGCGCUGUGCCUGAGUGUCUCACCUCCCCCGGCUUCACCGAUUCGUGGGUACAUUGUGUCAACAAAGCCGUCAAAGUAUCUUCUCGUGCGCAACACGCCGUAUCUGGCGGUGGUGGUGAAGCUGAAGCAUAUUGCCGGUGUCGUCGCCGUCACAUCGGCGGGGGUGAACAGUUGCUUUGUCGUGGCAGAGUCUGUUGAGGAUACGAAGCUGGUGAAGAAUGUACUGCUGUCCCAUCCCAGCAGGUGGGGUACUGACGUGUUGGUCUCUUAUCUGCGAAGGCUCUCGUGACGUUCCACUACUUUCUCUCUGCUGCUUUUCCGUCUUCGUCUAAG